rnacentral:rRNA from 1 species
GAUGAACGCUGGCGGCGUGCUUAACACAUGCAAGUCGAACGAAGCACUUUUACAGAUUUCUUCGGAAUGAAGUUUUAGUGGCUGAGUGGCGGACGGGUGAGUAACGCGUGGGUAACCUGCCUCACACAGGGGGAUAACAGUUGGAAACGGCUGCUAAUACCGCAUAAGGGCACAGUACUGCAUGGUACGGUGUGAAAAACUCCGGUGGUGUGAGAUGGAACCGCGUCUGAUUAGCUAGUUGGCAGGGCAACGGCCUACCAAGGCGACGAUCAGUAGCCGACCUGAGAGGGUGACCGGCCACAUUGGGACUGAGACACGGCCCAAACUCCUACGGGAGGCAGCAGUGGGGAAUAUUGCACAAUGGGGGAAACCCUGAUGCAGCGACGCCGCGUGAGCGAAGAAGUAUUUCGGUAUGUAAAGCUCUAUCAGCAGGGAAGAAGAAAUGACGGUACCUGACUAAGAAGCACCGGCUAAAUACGUGCCAGCAGCCGCCGUAA